AGUUAAUCUAACCUAUGGACGGGGAUAACCUCGGGAAACUGAGAGUAAUCCCCGAUAGAUCACAGUGCCUGGAAUGGCCUGUGGUUCAAAUGAUUUAUCGCCGUAGGAUGGGACUGCGGCCUAUCAGCUAGUUGGUGAGGUAAUGGCCCACCAAGGCUAUAACAGGUACGGGCUCUGAGAGGAGGGGCCCGGAGAUGGGUACUGAGACACGGACCCAGGCCCUAUGGGGCGCAGCAGGCGAGAAACCUUUGCGAUGUGCGAAAGCACGACAAGGUUAAUCCGAGUGUCUCCUGCUAAAGGAGUCUUUUGCCGGUCAUAGAACCACCGGUGAAUAAGGGGUGGGCAAGUUCUGGUGUCAGCCGCCGCGGUAAAACCAGCACCUCGAGUGGUCAGGAGGUUUAUUGGGCCUAAAGCAUCCGUAGCCGGCUGCUCAAGUUUUCGGUUAAAUCUAUGCGCUUAACGUAUAGGCCGCCGAAAAUACUGGGCAGCUAGGGAGUGGGAGAGGUACACGGUACUCAAUAGGAAGGGGUAAAAUCCUUUGAUCUAUUGAUGACCACCUGUGGCGAAGGCGGUGUACCAGAACACGUUCGACGGUGAGGGAUGAAAGCUGGGGGAGCAAACCGGAUUAGAUACCCGGGUAGUCCCAGCUGUAAACGAUGCAGACUCGGUGAUGCCUUGGCUUGUGGCCAAUGCAGUGCCGCAGGGAAGCCGUUAAGUCUGCCGCCUGGGAAGUACGUACGCAAGUAUGAAACUUAA
rnacentral:rRNA from 2 species